rnacentral:rRNA from 1 species
UACGUAGGGUGCAAGCGUUGCCCGGAUUUAUUGGGCGUAAAGGGCGCGUAGGCGGCUCUGCACGUUCGUUGUGAAAUCGCCCGGCUCAACUGGGCGGGGUCAGCGGAUACGGCAGAGCUUGAGCAAGCUAGGGGGCAAUGGAAUUCCCGGUGUAGUGGUGGGAUGCGUAGAUAUCGGGAGGAACACCAGUGGCGAAGGCGGUUGCCUGGGCUUUGGCUGACGCUGA